UAAUUGAAGAGUUUGAUCAUGGCUCAGAUUGAACGCUGGCGGUAGGCUUAACACAUGCAAGUCGUGCGAGAAAGUAUCUUCGGAUACGAGUAGAGCGGCGGACGGGUGAGUAACGCGUAGGAAUCUACCUAGUAGAAGGGGAUAGCCCGGGGAAACCCGGAUUAAUACCGUAUACCUCCUUCGGGAGAAAGAAGGCCUCUCUUUGAAGCUUUCGCUAUUAGAUGAGCCUGCGUAAGAUUAGCUUGUUG
rnacentral:rRNA from 1 species